rnacentral:rRNA from 1 species
GGAGGUAGUGACGAAAAAUAACAAUAUAGAACUAGUUAACUAUGUUCUGUAAUUGGAAUGAGUUAAUUAUAAAUCCUUUAAUAAGGAUCUAGUGGAGGGCAAGUCUGGUGCCAGCAGCCGCGGUAAUUCCAGCUCCACUAGCGUAUAUUAAAAUUGUUGCGGUUAAAACGUUCGAAGUUGAUUAUUGUCCGGUACGGGUGUUGCACCAUCAAGUAAAUGGUUGCAUUACAUUUCCGAUUACUUGGACUUGAUUUUGAGACUGAACACUUAAUGAAUAGCAUUCGUUGGCCUUUCACUAGGUCUGAAUGUCCUAUUUAGUUCAGCUUAAUAUUACCUUGAACAAAUUAAGGUGCUCAAAGCAGGCUCUAUAUGCCUUGAAUAUUUUUGCAUGGAAUAAUGGAAAAAGACCUCGGUCUAAGUCUUUUGCGUGUUGCUCGUUUGCGCGGGUUGCAUGCGUAUUUAAAGAGUUUCUAUUGGUUUGAUAUAGAUCAAGAGGUAAUGAUUAAUAGAAGCAG